GGCCCAUGAGCUCAGUUUGGUAGAGCGUCGUGCUAAUAACGCGAAGGUCGUGGGUUCGAUCCCCCCAUGGGCCA
rnacentral:tRNA from 1 species